rnacentral:rRNA from 1 species
GGAUUCCCCUAGUAACUGCGAGUGAAGCGGGAAAAGCUCAAAUUUAAAAUCUGGCGGUCUUUGGCCGUCCGAGUUGUAGUCUGGAGAAGUGCUUUCCGCGCUGGACCGUGUAUAAGUCUCUUGGAACAGAGCGUCAUAGAGGGUGAGAAUCCCGUCUUUGACACGGACUACCAGUGCUUUGUGAUGCGCUCUCAAAGAGUCGAGUUGUUUGGGAAUGCAGCUCAAAAUGGGUGGUGAAUUCCAUCUAAAGCUAAAUAUUGGCGAGAGACCGAUAGCGAACAAGUACCGUGAGGGAAAGAUGAAAAGCACUUUGGAAAGAGAGUUAAACAGUACGUGAAAUUGCUGAAAGGGAAACGCUUGAAGUCAGUCGCGUCUGCCGGAACUCAGCCUUCCUCUUGGUUGGUGCACUUUCCGGUAGACGGGUCAGCAUCGAUUUUGACCGUCGGAAAAGGGCUGGGGAAAUGUGGCACCCUUCGGGGUGUGUUAUAGUCUUCAGUCGCAUACGGCGGUCGGGAUCGAGGAACGCAGCGCGCCGCAAGGCAGGGGUUCGCCCACUUACGCGCUAAGGAUGCUGGCAUAAUGGCUUUAAACGACCCGUCUUGAAACACGGACCAAGGAGUCUAACAAACCUGCGAGUGUUUGGGUGGAAAACCCGAGCGCGUAAUGAAAGUGAAAG